GCUGGGCUCAGUGGUGCAUGCCUGUAAUCCCAGCGGCUCUGGAGGCUGAGGCAGGAGGAUCACAGGUUUAAAGCCAGCCUCAGCAAUUUAGCCAGGCCCUAAGCAACUUAGUAAGAUCCUGCCUCAA
rnacentral:sRNA from 1 species